rnacentral:rRNA from 1 species
UACGUAGGGAGCAAGCGUUGUCCGGAAUUAUUGGGCGUAAAGAGUUCGUAGGCGGUCUGUCGCGUCCGUUGUGAAAGCCCAGGGCUCAACCCUGGGUCUGCAGUGGAUACGGGCAGACUAGAGUCAGGUAGGGGAGAACGGAAUUCCUGGUGUAGCGGUGAAAUGCGCAGAUAUCAGGAGGAACACCGGUGGCGAAGGCGGGUCUCUGGGCCGAUACUGACGCUGAGGAGCGAAAGCGUGGGGAGCGAACAGG